rnacentral:rRNA from 1 species
UAUCGACGGCGGUGUUUGGCACCUCGAUGUCGGCUCAUCACAUCCUGGGGCUGAAGUAGGUCCCAAGGGUAUGGCUGUUCGCCAUUUAAGUGGUCGCGAGCUGGGUUUACGUCGUGAGACAGUUCGGUCCCUAUCUGCCGUGGGCGCUGGAGAACUGAGGGGGGCUGCUCCUAGUACGAGAGGACCGGAGUGGACGCAUCACUGGUGUUCGGGUUGUCAUGCCAAUGGCACUGCCCGGUAGCUAAAUGCGGAAGAGAUAAGUGCUGAAAGCAUCUAAGCACGAAACUUGCCCCGAGAUGAGUUCUCCCUGAGACUUUAAGUCUCCUGAAGGAACGUUGAAGACGACGACGUUGAUAGGCCGGGUGUGUAAGCGCAGCGAUGCGUUGAGCUAACCGGUACUAAUGAACCGUGAGGCUUAACCUUACAACGCCGAAG